rnacentral:misc_RNA from 1 species
UCCGAGUUGACCCCGGCAGUCUCCUGCGAGUCCCCGCCAUUACGCGCUGGCAACACAGGACAAGGGUUGCGCUCGUUGCGGGACUUAACCCAACAUCUCACGACACGAGCUGACGACAGCCAUGCACCACCUGUAUACCGACCACAAGGGGGGCCGUAUCUCUACGGCUUUUCCCUACAUGUCAAGCCUUGGUAAGGUUUGACAUAUACCGGAAAGCCGUAGA